UACGGGGGGGCAAGCGUGUUCGGAAUUACUGGGCGUAAAGGGCGCGUAGGCGGUUCGCUAAGUUGGAUGUGAAAACUCUGGGCUCAACCCAGAGCCUGCAUCCAAAACUGGCGGGCUAGAGUUCUGGAGGGGAUAGCGGAAUUCCUGGUGUAGCGGUGAAAUGCGUAGAUAUCAGGAGGAACACCGGUGGCGAAAGCGCCUGUCUGGCCCAAUACUGACGUGAUGCGCGAAAGCUAGGGGAGCAAACGGG
rnacentral:rRNA from 1 species